rnacentral:SRP_RNA from 1 species
UAAUAUUGCCAUGAGAACGAUAACCUUGUAAACUGGUCAGGAUAGAAAUAUAGCAGCCAUACCGAGAAGUGUUGUGUCUUGUGGUUUUUUAUAUAAA